rnacentral:rRNA from 1 species
GUGAGGAAUAUUGGUCAAUGGGCGAGAGCCUGAACCAGCCAAGUAGCGUGCAGGAUGACGGCCCUAUGGGUUGUAAACUGCUUUUACACGGGGAUAAAGUGUGCGACGUGUCGUUCAUUGCAGGUACCGUGCGAAUAAGGACCGGCUAAUUCCGUGCCAGCAGCCGCGGUGAUACGGAAGGUCCGGGCGUUAUCCGGAUUUAUUGGGUUUAAAGGGAGCGUAGGCCGUCUGUUAAGCGUGUUGUGAAAUGUAGAUGCUCAACAUCUGAAUUGCAGCGCGAACUGACCGACUGGAGAGCGCAGGAAGUAGGCGGAAGUCGUGGUGUAGCGGUGAAAUGCAUAGAGAUCACACAGAAUAUCGAUUGCGAAGGCAGCUCACAAAGCCAAUAUUGACGCUGAGGCACGAAAGUGUGGGGAUCAAACAGGAUUAGAAACCCCAGUAGUCC